rfam:Rattus norvegicus chromosome 3, whole genome shotgun sequence.
UGAUCCCCCAAGGAACUUACGGCGACCGUGGCCUUCUAGGCCUGACCGCCAUACGCCCGCCCGCCAACUGCUUCCAACCAACCCAGCAAGCACAACCUCUUUGGGCGUUCCAACGCGGCGCCCCCUU